rnacentral:rRNA from 1 species
UACGAAGGGGGCUAGCGUUGCUCGGAAUCACUGGGCGUAAAGGGUGCGUAGGCGGGUCUUUAAGUCAGUGGUGAAAUCCGGCAGCUCAACUGUCGAUGUGCCAUUGAUACUGCAGAACUUGAGUACAGACGAGGUAGGCGGAAUUGACGGUGUAGCGGUGAAAUGCUUAGAUAUCGUCAAGAACACCGAUAGCGAAGGCAGCUUACUAGACUGUAACUGACGCUGAUGCACGAAAGUGUGGGGAUCAAACAGG